rnacentral:rRNA from 1 species
UACGUAGGGGGCAAGCGUUGUCCGGAUUCAUUGGGCGUAAAGCGCGUGUAGGCGGCCAGGUAGGUCUGGUGUGAAAACUCGAGGCUCAACCUCGAGAGGUCAUCGGAGACCAUCUGGCUAGAGUCCGGAAGAGGAGAGUGGAAUUCCCGGUGUAGCGGUGAAAUGCGCAGAUAUCGGGAAGAACACCUAUGGCGAAGGCAGCUCUCUGGGACGGUACUGACGCUGAGACGCGAAAGCGUGGGGAGCGAACAGG